ACUGUUAAGCUAUUAAUUAUGUACACUGAGGCUCCUAUAAGUAGAUCUGGUAAAAAAAAAUGUAAUCAGCAUCCCAUAUCAAUGUAAACGAUGAUUAAACAGACAAGAAGCAGACUUUGCAACAGUGGAAUCAACUGUAACAUAGCAAACUACCCACCAUCAUUUCCAUAACCAUUGAACAUCAGCUAUUAGGUACCCAAGGUCAUGGGGUCAAAGUCAUCAUAUGGGGGUCCAUGUCUUAAUGUUCUCCCUUAGUAUCUUAUCUGUAUCGUUUUCAAAUUUUAGUCUUGUAGCACUUGACAAUUCAAGCUCCUGAAGUUAGUUACUUUUUAUUUUUUUCAACUUUCAUAGGAGUUAGCACACCUCUUGAUGAUAAUAAUGCUAGCCGCCAGCCUUGUCAAAGUUAACUUUGCUAACAUUUUGCUGAGCCUACCCUAACUUCUGAACCUACUGGUAACUUCAGUCAUUUUCAUUUAUCAUGCUAAAAAUCUGACACCAGGCUGUAAUGUCUGUAUAUCUGUAAUGUUGGUUUGGCUCUUCAUUGAUUCACUUAUCUGCCAAACUUGUUUUGAAGAUGUUCAUAGCAAAAAUGGAUGCAUGCAUAAUUAAUCACAGUGUAUGUAAUUAAUUAGAUUAUUUUUUUUAAGCGAUUGCACUCUUAGAAAAAAGGGUUCUUGUGGGUGCUAAAUAGAACCAUGGGGGUUCUUUGCCAAGGAAAUAGAACCUUUUGCCUGAAAAGGGUGCUAUUUCUUACUCGCGAGGAUUAUUUGAACUUAAACGACCGUUUAUGGAACCCUUUCCCGGAGAAGCUCACUCUGCUGCAGUGGAUUUAACGAACAGCAAAUUGAUGGGGAGACUGCUGGGGUUGACAGAGAGGAUGGUUGAACAACUGUUUCCUCUGAUGAAACACAGUCUUGUUUUUGAGAGGUGGAAAAGUUACGCAAAUCAUCGUUGGUUCAGUACCCAAACCAUAAAAAAUACACUGAUGUCCUGUGGUGUCUGAUCACUAGAUAUCCAUUUCUUAAUGACCACAGCUAAUCUGGUUAUGAGACCCUGCUGGAGUGUCUUAGGAAUAAGUUCAAAAAGGAAAGGUCUCCUUUGAUAAACCUGACGACGGUGCAGGAGAUUAAGAGAAAGUUUGGUGUCAGAAGACAAAGAUUUGUGGACCAUGUGCCUCUGGAGGACCCACCUGGACAUCAGAGAGCAAAAAAGUACAGAGUGGGGGUCCAGAUGUCUUCUGAUUACGAGCCAACACAAGAGAUUAUGUUGGACCUUGAAGCAGUUGGGGAGGACUACCACAGCUUUCAAGAGCAUAUAAACGCCAUAAAACAAUUAGUUGUGCCGUCGUCAGCCAGAUAUUAGUCAUAUAAUGGACAGGAUGAGGCAAACUGUCUAUAAGAGGGUAGAGCAAAUGGGAAAGCAACUGAGGAGGUGAUGGAGAUGUUCCAAUUUCUUUGGGUGCCAGAGCUGAUCCAUCAUGAAAUGAAGUUGCGGUUUGGACUGGACUUAAAGCUAAGCCUGCAUAACACCAUCAGUAUAUUGACCCCUAACGUCAUCAGAGUGGCUGACAGUGGGAGUCGGAGGGAGAGGCCUACGAGAUACUAACACAGAUGACCUUCAAAAAAGUGCCUGCUGUCCUAAUUUUGCCUGCCCUUUUUAAGGAGGAUGCCAAGUUUCUGUAUUGUUUAGACGAGGAACCACUGAGCGUGUUUCCAACCAUCAUCUUCCAGGGUGGCGAUACUCCCCUCCUUGCCAGGAGAGCAUCCAUAAAGAUGGAUGGCAUCACAAUAGCAAGUGGAGAGAUGGAUGUGCCACAUGCCCACUAAUGCGAAUUUGUCAUUGGCCCCUCCCCUGACAUUGAUGCUUCUUUAGGCCUUGUCUGUAUUUUUUGUUUAUAUUUUCUUUUUGAUGUUCAGUACCCAAAAGAGGCCCACCACACAUUACUAUUCUUUGAAAGACGCCUUAACCUGUCUAUGUCUAAGCCCUCCACUCCAGUGUUGCGUGUGGAAAAAAUGUUAUCAGAAAGUGUGUUUUAUAAUCAUUUGAAAUGUAUUAAUUUGUAAAAAUGUAACUAUUGCUGUUUGGAGCGUAUUUUUUUUAUGCAUUUUAGCAUUUUUUAUGCAAGUAAUAUAGAAGAUAUGUUUAAGCAAUGAAUAUGUAAAUUAAUGUAAAUAUGUAUCUAUUGUUGUUUUGAGUGUCUUAUGACACACAUUUUUUGCGAGUAAUAUAAAAGAUAUGCUAAAGCAAUGAAUAUGUAAAUGAAUGUAGAAAUACUGAAUACAGUACUUGAAUGAUA